rnacentral:rRNA from 1 species
UACGUAGGGUGCAGGCGUUAAUCGGAAUUACUGGGCGUAAAGCGUGCGCAGGCGGUUUGCUAAGUCAGGUGUGAAAUCCCCGGGCUUAACCUGGGAACUGCGCUUGUAACUGGCAAGCUAGAGUGUGGCAGAGGGGGGUGGAAUUCCACGUGUAGCAGUGAAAUGCGUAGAGAUGUGGAGGAACACCGAUGGCGAAGGCAGCCGGCUGGGCUAACACUGACGCUCAUGCACGAAAGCGUGGGGAGCAAACAGG